UCAGCAGGAAUGACCUUGAGAGGGAAGUGGAAAGGCAAAGGGAGAAGGGACAGGUGUGUGGAGGGUGCCCAGCAGCUGACACGGUGUCUGUGGUGUCCUUGUUAUCUCUCCCAAUCCUCCCCACAGGCCUGCUAGGGGCCCCAGGAAUCAGGUUGUCCAUUUUACAGAUCAGGAAAUCAACACGCAGGGAGAUUUCUCCAAGGUCACAGACUGGGAAGUGGCAGCACUAAGACCAGAAAUGCAAGGUUCUGUGUCUGGCUUGCCCUGGCCUCCGAGAGGGAGAUGACCUUGGGAGUCACGUGAAACUCAUAAAUGUGGGCUGCUGGCAGGAGAUGGUGAUGAAGACAGCUCAGACAGAACCUGCUGGCCACGAGAUAGAGAAAGUCCCAGGACCAAGAGGUUUCCGUGACUUGCUGAAUCCAGUGACUAGGCCUGAUAGUCUGCACCUGUGAUCUCAAAACAGUACUCCCCACCGAAGCCUGCCAUUAUCACGCCCAUCCUGGCACCCCUUCUUCUAUUUCAUUUGCUCUGUUUUGUUGGUGCCGUAUCCCAUGCCUAGGACGGUGCCUGACACAUAAAGAGGUGCUUGCUAAGUUUUGUUGAAUGAAUGAAGGUGAAAUGAAUGAGAUGCCCCUGUUCCUGGAAAACCUGGGUGGCCUAAUGCCUUUAAGGGUCAAUUUGCAAGGGGAUGACAGCAAAGGAACAGGAGUCCAGAGUGGCCUCCAGGUAAAACAUAGGUAGCUAUCACUCCAAAAAGGGUGAUAGGAUUCCAGGAUGAGGGCAUAAGGCCACGGGAGCUAAUUUCUAGGUUCCCACAAUGUUUAGAGCCUGAACAGAGUCCCUGGGGAGGCCCGGGGCUGUGAAUGGCUGUGUGGGAUGGGCACUGCAUGUAUGGGGGCAGUGGUGCAAGAAGACGCGGAAAAGACUCAUGAGGAGGCAGCUGGGAGACAACCAAAGUGAAGCAGGAGCUAGCCGGACCCUGCCAAACAGCAGCAGGAGGGAUGGGAGUUAGAUUUUGGGAAGUAAAUUAAUUUCUUCAUCUCUGCAGCAACGUAGACUAUGAGGAUGCCCCCUCCCCCAUCUGUAAGUGUCUUUGGAGUGGUGGAGGCAGGGAGCCUCCGCUGAGCUGGGGGCUGCCUAUUCUGAAGAGGCCUGCUGUGCUCGCCUAGGACAGGAAAAGAAACUAAGAUGUGAGAAGUGCGGUAACAUGCUUAAGAUCAGGUCAUUAUUUCACUUGCACACGUUUGUACUGUGGGGAACAUAGAGGUGGAGAGAUCUCAGAGCCGAACAAGAAUCGGGCUUUCCACCCUCAAGAACUCAAGACGUUUGAUAGUGUGUAUGUUAUAGACACAAAAGAUUCACAGGAGAGUGUGAACAGGGUUAUCUGCCCAGGGAUGUGAGGGAGCGAGCACAGGAACAAACUGUAUGUCAGAAAUCGCUAAAGAGGACGGCAGCUCCUCUGGGCCUACAUGUGGGGUUCAGAGAAUGUGGUCACCAGGAGAGAGAGCCCCACUGGGCCCUGCCCCUGCUCACUUCUCAGCGCUGACUCCUUCAUGCACCUUCCGUUCAGGCAUGUCUGCAUCCUAUCUCUGGCUCCCAUCACCUUUGACAGACACCUCACUCUCACCUCAGGGCCUUCGCCCCUCCUGGUCUCCCUUUCACUGCUCCGUUUCUCACAGCACAGCAUGCAUCACUCCUGAUGGAAUAUUUGCAUGUUUGCGUCUGUCUGUACUUGUGCCUCCCUCCUGUGCGCACGCACCUUAAUGUCCGUGCCACCAGGGGAGGGGCUGGCCUCUUGGACUCACUGCUGUCUCUCCAACUCCUGGAACAGUGACAGGCAUGUAGUAGGUGCUCAAUUCACACAACACGUGGGAUGGUCAUCCUCCCAUCUCUUCCAGCUGUUUCUGGGUCAGAUGUGGCAAAGUUGGGCAAAGCUGGGCUCUGGCUGCACAAUCACGUUCAUAGUUCAGACACCCUUGCUCUGAGACAGGUGCAGAAGAGGAGGAUUUGGGAUCUGAGUGGCUUGCAGGGCAGAUCCAACCGUCACUACCGUCUCCUCCCCUCCAAGGGCUGCAGAAGCCUGACCUGGCCUGGGGGGCGGUUUGUCCUGAUCCAAGUCACGUUAAAUCAAAUUCAAAGGAUUUCCUACCCAUAUGUGACACGUGGGCUAACCUUCCAGAGAGGUCUCCAGCACCCUUGGAACAGAUGCUCUACUGUAGCCUAAGCAUGGGAAAGGAGAUUGAAGACAGAUGGAAGAGAGGAUUAUAUUGUCACACAAGGUUACAACACUUAAAUCAGUAAGCUCUCAAACACUUGAAGCCUGAUUCCACCAUUGCCACACUCUAGGGAACCUAGACUUGUGGCUGGAAAAAUGAAGCCCCAAACCCCCAGAGCGUUGGGUCCCGUCUGAAACCAGCCUUUCUGCCUCUUUUCUCAGAGCCCUCUAAUGUGAUCCCACCGACACACUGGGUCAUAGGCUCCACCCCAGCCUUCUCUAGAAUGCUUCCCCUUCUCUCUCCACAGGGCAAGUCUCACCUGUCAUCAGGGUCCUGUUCAAAUGCCAGCCAAUGUGAGUCUCGGCCCUGAUAUCCACCCCCAUUGACUGUUUUAUAACGUAUACUCUCAUUCACAUUAAAGAAUUUGUUUCUCUUGAUACAAGGCAGUUAUUCUCACCCCUUUUUUUUUUUUAUUCAUAAGGGAACAGUCGGACUUCAGACAGGUCAGUUAACAUGUUCCAGUCACAGAGCAACUGUGAGAACUUGGGAUCUGUAGGUCUUGGAUUUUCUGACUCCGGGUCUGGGGCUUCCCUUCUUCAAAAUCCAGCUAAAUCCUACCCCUUCCUUCCUGAACUACAGUGUCUCCUAGAGAACCUCCCUCACCUUUUGUCACAAUCUGACUGCAGGGAUUCCUAUGUUUUACCCGCCAUCUUGGCCACAUCCGGGUACCCCCUGCACUGUUAUUUAUUUGAUAUUUUUCCUCUGUUCAGUGCAUUUUCCUUCACUGAAAGAAAAAUAUCUGAGAAGGAAACUCAAUGUCAGUGUGAUGAGUAGGAAAUUGCUCCUUAUAAAUCGUAAGUGUAAAAAUGAAUGCAAUGCAAAAGUAACUCCAGAUGGUUCAAAGACCUAACACUGGAAAACUUUUAGAAGAAAACUUAGGGGUAAAUCUUCAUGACUUUGGAUUUGACAAUGGUUUCUUGAUAUGACACCAAAAAUACAAGCAACAAAAGAAAAAAUAGGUAAAUUGGACUUCAUCAAAAUUUAAACAUAUUGUACAUUAAAGGAAACUAUCAAGAAAGUGAAGACAACAACAGAAUGGGAGAGGAAACGUUAGCAAACCAUAUAUCUGAUAAGGGACUUAUAUCCAGCAUAUAUAAAGAACUGUAACAACUCAACAAUAAAGACAAACAACUCAAUUAAAAAAUGGGCAAAGAACUUGCACAUUCUCCAGAGAAGAUCUACAGAUGGCCAACAAGCACAUGAACAGAUGCUCAACAUCACUGGCUAUGAGGGAAAUGCAAAUCAAAACCACAAUGAGAUCCUACUUCGCACCCACAAGAACAGUUAUAAUAAUAAUAUUUUCUAGAAACCUGAGAGUAACCGGUGUUGGUGAGGAGGUGGAGCAAUUGAACCCUCAUAUACUGCCAGUGGGAACGGAAAAUGGCACAGCCACUGUGGAAAACAAUUUAGUGGUCCGCAAAAAGUUACACAUAGAACCAUCAGCAAUUCCACGUCUGUACCCAAGAGACAUGAAAACAUAGGUCCACAUCAAAACUUAUAUACAAAUGCUCAUAGCAACACUAUUCAUAGUAGCCAAAAAGUGGAAACAACCCAAAUGUCCAACAGAUAAACAAAAUGUGGUGUCUAUUCAUACAAUGAAUUAAGCCAUACAAAGGAAUAAAUUACUGAUAUGUCCUACAACACGGAAGAAUCUUGAAAACAUUAUGCUAAGUGAAAGGAACUAGAUACACAAGGCUGCGUAUUUUAUGAUUCCGUUUCUAUGAAGUAUCCACAACAGGCGAAUCCAUGGAGACACAAAGCAGAUGAAUGGUUGCCAGGAGUAGGGGGAAGGAGGAUUGGGGAGUGGCACCUUAAUGGGUACAAUAUUUCCUUUGCGGUGAUGAGAAUGUUCUGGAACUAGAUAGAGGUGAUGGUUGCACAUCAGUGUAAAUGUACUAGAUGUCACUGAAUUGUAUACCUCAAAAUGGCUGAAAUUAUAAAUGUUAUGUGAACUUUACAGUACAAAAUUCAAUCAAUAUUAAAUUAUGUUAAUAAAUACCAUUGAUAUAUUGUUGCAUAAUUAGGUGAAGACUCUGGGUCUAAGGGACUCAGUUUUUGCAUUGUUUCUGUUUUCUUUUGUAAGGUUUAUUUAUUUUUGAGGGGGGGAGGGGCAGAGAGAGAGAGGGAGACAGAAUCCAAAGCAGGGUCGAGGCUCUGUCAGCACAGAGCCGGGUGUGGGGCUCGGACUCACAAACUGCGGGAUCAUGACCUGAGCCAAAGUCAGAGACUUAACUGAUGCCCCUAAGGGGUUCCUUUUGUUGUAUGUGAGAAAGUGCCAGAGUCGGAGGCACAGAGAGAGCUGAGAGGGGAUAAAGGCCUAGCACCAAGAUGAGACUCUCCCCUGGGUGGAAUCAAAGGGCCUGAAGGAGAACAGGGAGGGCCACCUUUCUCCCGGGGCUGUCCCAGCACCUGGGCACCACCUUGCGUGCUGCCCGGACGCUGGUACAGGUUACGUUGUACACAAAGGCGCCGGCCGGGGACAGGUAUGAUCGCAUUUCAACCCUGGCUUCAUCCAAAAGCCAAAGACCAUGUUGUAGAGGCUGCCUGCCCAGAGAAGGAAAAUUUCAGCAGUCCGUCUGUCCCGAGGGGGCACCCGUCCGUAAAUCACCCGAAGGUACCAUAGAUUGGCAGCUGUCCUAUGUGGUGAGAACCCUUGUAGUGAAAGCCGAGGAACUGGAAAAGCCAGUCAGACUUUGUUUCAAUUCUUGUUUCUGCCACAUUCAACUGUGAGACCUUGUUCUAAUCACCGGACCUUCUCUGAAUCUCUGUUUCCUCAGCUGUAAAAUAGGGAAACGACCGCUCGCUCCAAAGAGUAUGAAGAUUGAAUGAAGUGUGUGUACAUACUGACUGUUCGUUUUUUCCCCCAGUAGUUAGCUUUAGCUUUCACCUUUGGCUUAGAUACUUUUUUUUUUUUUUUUUUUUUUGGUACUAGAAAAAUAAUAUAGGGGCACCUGGGUGGCUCAGUCGGUUGAGCGUCUGACUUUGGUUCAGGUCAUGAUCUCAUGGUUCUUGGGUUCGAGCCCCGCAUCAGGCUCUGUGCUGACAGCUCAGAACCUGGAGCCUGCUUCGGAUUCUGUGUCUCCCUCUCUCUCUGCCCCUUCCCUGCUCAUGCUCUGUCUCUCUUUCUCUCUCUCAAAAAUGAAUAAACAUUAAAUAAAAAAUUUUAACAAAAAUAAUAUAACUAGGGGUGCCUGGCUGGCUCAGUCAGUAGAGCAUGCAACUCUUGAUCUCAGUGUCAUGAGUUUGAGCCUCACAUUGGGCAAGGAGCCUACUUUUAAAAAAAUAAUAAAAUAAAAAAUAACAUAACCAUACUAAUGAACAUAUUAAAAAGCGAAAUUACUCAUUUUUCAUCUGCUCCCAGUUCAAUUAUUUUUGCCCCUUGCUGUAUUUCCUUCCUAUAUAUUUUUUCUAAGCUUUUUUUAAAAACUUAGUUCUAUGUUUUUGGUGCUUUAAUGUCUUCCCAGCCAAAAUUUUAAUGGCUGUCUAGGGGUGCCUGGGCGGCUUAGUCGGUUAAGCAUCUGACUUCAGCUCAGGUCAUGAUCUCACAGUCUAUGAAUUUGGGCCCCGUGUCGGGCUCUGUGCUGACAGCUCAGAGCCUGCCUGGAGCCUGCUUCAGAUUCUCAGAUUCUGUGUCCCUCUCUCUCUCUGUCCCUCCCCCUCUCACGCUCUGUCUCUCUCUGUCUCUCAAAAAUGAAUAAACGUUCAAAAAUUAAAAAAAAAAAUUUAAUGGCUGUUUGUAUGAUUCCUGCUAGAUACACCAUAUUUUUCUGAGUCAUUGCCCUGUUGUUGAAUAUUUACACUGCCUUUAGUUUUUGCUCUUACAAAUAAAAUUCGGUGAACAUCUCUGAGAGUAUAUCUCUGAAAUUUUGAUCAUUUUCUUAAAAGACAGUCCCAGAAAAAGAA